rnacentral:lncRNA from 1 species
AUGGAACAAGGCUAAGUUAAAAGUGUCAAAAUGAAAAAUUGGACCAAAUUUAAUAGGUUGUCUAUGUAUUUGGCCUAUAUAUAUUGUACUAGAUGACUCUUGCCCGUGCAAAGCAUGGGCCCAACAAUUUCUGUUAGCCUUUAGUUGCAUCCAACUAAGACAUAUUGAAAUCCAAGUCUAAACAGCAAUAAAUGUUUUAGAACAACCGUAAUACCACACACAUAAGCACAGUUCUAAUUUUUAGAGUAUGACAUAGAAGACUACAUAUUACAUCCGAAUAUAUAAUACAAUUUCACAAUCUGUGAAUUUAAGAACAGUGAAUUUUGCUCACAUCUUCAAAUCACAUUCCCUAAGAUAACCGUACAAAUGACAUUUGUCUCAGCUUGUUCAUACGUGCCUUCUCCAAAAGAGUUCCAUUUUCAAAUUACUCCAACAAAAUUAGGAUCGAGACAUGCGCCAGUGUGUUAAAUUUUAACACAUCUACCUGAGAUGUAUAAGUGAGACGUGUAAAUAACAAUAAAUCCUUGAAGAGAAAGCCUAGUAAUAUACAGGCACAGAAGUGAAGCACGGUCCCAUCACUAAAUAGCCAAUUUAACAUAUAGAAACAAAAGAAGCAAUUUCAUAACAUGUGAAUUCAAGCAUAGAAAAAUUUGCUCCCUUCUAUAACAUAUAGAAACAAAAGAAGCAAUACUAUUCCUUGCAUGCUUGUUUAUCCAGACUAUCCUGGAGAAGCUACAUCCUGAAGUCAUUGUACAAUAAUUUAAGGAUGAGACAUAUCAUAUCAAAAGUAGAAACUUGAGAAAACCUGCUGGAGUUGAUCCAAAAACCCACUGACCAUGAGUCUUGGAUUUCUGACAUGGCUAAAAGAUGUUACCUGUAGAUACGAUUUGAUUUUCUAUUUCAGUUAUGUCUACCUCUCUGUUUUUCUGCCAUGUAACACAGAAUGUUCGUAAUAACAGGGCGGCAUUCAAAUCAAACAUAUACCAAAAAAAUAUAUGAGCCCAUAGAUUCUUUUGCAGUACGUCAAUAGAUAUCCAUCGUCUCUUUAAUAAUGCAUAUCAGAACCCCAAGGAGCAGAUAGUAACACAAACAGUACAUUUGAAAGUUCGUCUAACUUAAGGACAUAAUCAAGACCAGCAAGUUCUUUUGAGUUAAUGGCUCACAAGGCUUGUAUGAACAAAUACAAAAGGCUUUUUACCACUAAUGGUCAAAGCAUUUGCAUCUGGUACAAGAUUUUGACAAGCAUAACUCAGGAGCUUUAAUAUGGAAUAUUUUAGCGCCCUCAACUAUGAGGAGCUAAAAAAUGUUAAAUCAGUUAUAGAUUAGAGAACAAUCGUCACCUUUUAAUCUUUAAUGCAAAUUACAUUGUAAAGUAGUAGCAAAUCUAUGUACUAAUAAACAUAAGAUGCUAGUCCCAAGGAGUAAUGCAAGCUCAAGUAGAAUUCAAAUUAACUGAGAGCGAUAAUUCAAAAUGGCAAAUCCCCUUAGAAAUACAUCUGGAAGAACAAAUUCUCUUCCUUCCAAAUGCAUAUCUAAUACUGUUUUUUCUUUUAAAAAAUGAAUUAGAGAUACAUAUGAGGGAAGAGCAUUGUAUUCCUCAAGGCUAUACUAUUCAUUUAUCUAGGAAGAACGUAAGAAGCCGAACUAUCAAAAGCUUUAUAACAAACCAAUUACCAGCAUAUGAGCAACCAAAGAAAAAAAAAGGAAUAGUCCCUUGAAUAAACAUAACUUGGCAUGUUAAUCAGUAUAUAAAAGGGUGGAGACACAAGUCAUUUAAAAGAUAAUAGAACCAACAUGGUGCCUAGAUUACCUGUCACGAUUUAUCAUCGUCUGUAGAAGCAGUCCUAUCAACUCUUAUUUCAUAGGACCUGGUAUUGGAAGUUUGAUAGAAAACGUGCAUUGAUGCAUGAUGAAAAAUUUUGGAAACCAUAAUAAAAGCAUGUCAUUUAUGAAUCUUUACAUUCAUGUUUAUACAUUUUUUUGGAUAAAUAUUUUCUCUAUACAGAUGAUUAAAUGUAGUUAGUCACGUUAAGAGGGAUAGAAAUUGAAAACAAGCUUUGGUUAGCUUUUCAAAAGUGCUAGACUGUUUUAUUCUGCUAUUAUUCAUAUGUAUUGGAUUAUUUAAGUGAUGUAUAUUGCUAGCAUGCUACAGUAAAAAGGGAAACUAAAUUGUACUUGGUCGAAUGAAGGAAAAAAGCUUCUAUAGUAAAGCUAAUAUACUUUGACAUGCUGUCCUUAGACAAAGCUGUCUUAUGGACCUGUUUAUGUGAAGAAAGAGUCUCGGAUCCAAUAUUAUAUGUUUUUUGUGCUAAGUCAUAAUUUGACUAAACUAACACAAAUUGAGAUUCAAACUCAUCUACUUGUAUAACAGACUCAAUAUAAUUAGUUGUUUUGUAUAUUUCUAUCUUUUUGUGCUUUUUGCUGAAUUUGUAGUUUGAUACAUUUCAACCUUAAAUUUCUCUAUCUCUAAGGUGAAUACUUUUUGUUGUUAGUAAGUAACAAUUUACUGAAAACACCUCUUUUGCUUUUUUAUACAGCAUUUGACCGUGAUGGGCAGGAGCGGCGUGUUGAAUCAUGGAUUUAGCUACGCAUGCCACAUCAUCAGCUUAUCGAGACUUUAUUAAUGACACUGUUGUGUACACUUCCUUUGUUUUUCCUACGUCUAAUUCUAAAUCCAGCCCGUGAGUAGAUAUUCUAACUGAUAAUGGAUAUAAUCAUUUGUAAUACUACAACAACAACCACCCAGUAUAAUCCCACUAAUGAGGUCUGGGAGCCCAUCAAUAGAUAUCCAUCGUCUCUUUAAUAAUGCAUAUCAGAACCCCAAGGAGCAGAUAGCAACACAAACAGUACAUUUGAAAGUUCGUCUAACUUAAGGACAUAAUCCAGACCAGCAAGUUCUUUUGAGUUAACAGCUCACAAGGCUUGUAUGAACAAAUACAAAAGGCUUUUUACCACUAAUGGUCAAAGCAUUUCCAUCCGGUACAAGAUUUUGACAAGCAUAACUCAGGAGCUUUAAUAUGGAAUAUUUUAGCGCCCUCAACUAUGAGGAGCUAAAAAAUGUUAAAUCAGUUAUAGAUUAGAGAACAAUCGUCACCUUUUAAUCUUUAAUGCAAAUUACAUUCUAAAGUAGUAGCAAAUCUAUGUACUAAUAAACAUAAGAUGCUAGUCCCAAGGAGUAAUGCAAGCUCAAGUAGAAUUCAAAGUAACUGAGAGCGAUAAUUCAAAAUGGCAAAUCCCCUUAGAAAUACAUCUGGAAGAACAAAUUCUCUUCCUUCCAAAUGCAUAUCUAAUACUGUUUUUUCUUUUAAAAAAUGAAUUAGAGAUACAUAUGAGGGAAGAGCAUUGUAUUCCUCAAGGCUAUACUAUUCAUUUAUCUAGGAAGUACGUAAGAAGACGAACUAUCAAAAGCUUUAUAACAAACCAAUUACCAGCAUUGAGCAACCAAAGAAAAAAAAAAGGAAUGGUCCCUUGAAUAAACAUAACUUGCCAUGUUAAUCAGUAUAGAAAAGGGUGGAGACACAAGUCAUUUAAAAGAUAAUAGAACCAACAUGGUGCCUAGAUUACCUAUCACGAUUUAUCAUCGUCUGUAGAAGCAGUCCUAUCAACUCUUAUUUCAUAGGACCUGGUGUUGGAAGUUUGAUAGAAAACAAAGCCAUCAUGCACAUGAAAAGGAUGCAGCAAAUUUAAGGAGAGAUCAAAAGUUCAAAUUAGGAAGAUGAUAAAAAUGGCGUUCAAUUUGGGCAAGAGACGAAGUAUAUCUAAGUAUUUAAUGAGAACUCCCCUCAUGAAUACAUUAAACCUGAAAGGAUUUAAUAACUUACAAAUUUCAAUCAGGCUCUAUGUAAAAACCAUCAAGUAGACUUUAUAAAGCAGUUCAAGUAGCAGCUCUCUGUAAUUCCUUCAACCAGUUAGCUCCCAUGUCUUUUUGAGAUCUGAAUAACGGAGAACUUCUUGUUGCAUUAGCUGGAGUUUGAUUUGUCUUCUCUCUUCCUCCAAAAGACAUAUCAACUGCAACAAACAUUUGAUGGGAUAGUUGGUAGGUCCUGCCAAAUAUGCAACAUAAUAUGGUCAAAAAUCUGGUGUAGUAGGUAAGUAAAGAUGCUAAUAGUCAAUCCAGUUGAAGUUGCAUGCAAAUUUUUACCGGUGUGGCACAUGAGAUUAAAAGUUAUCAUUUUGAUUAAAAGUUCAUCUAACUGAUAGGUCGCAUUUCAGUUUUCGCUUUCUUUAAUAAUCCUAUCCAAUCAAAUACAAUUAAUUUUUCAAAAAUAUUUUUACGAUAACAAUCAUAAUUAAAUUAGGUAGAUUCAAAAAUAUAGAAACAAAGGAUUAUUAGGUAGAUUCUUUUUUUUCCACAAUUAUUUGCGUAAAAUUAAAUUCGCAAUACCUUAAAAUAAUAAAAGUCAAAGAUCCAUUCAUAUUGGUUGUAAAAACGCGAUACAUACCUUAGAAGUCAAUUUCAAGGAAAUGAUAGGCAUGCAUGAUAUUCUCACUCUGAUAUUCUUUCCUGAAAAGCAAUAAGAGAUUCAAUUUAAUGCUCUUGGCAAAUCUUCAUAAUAAUACCAGUUUAAAAUAAUCUGUCACAAAUGUGGCAAGAAAAAAGGUGAAUAACUUUGUUACCCAUAUCAUAAAUUUAUCAUAUCAGAAGAGAUCACCAACCCAGAAACUGUAAUCAAUGAUUCACUCAGCACCCAAAAAUUCACAAUAACAGCCAAAUUGUUUGCUGAAUAGUUAAACUAAUUAAGUAAUGCACAAAGUUUUCAAUGAAAACUUCCUUGGUUAUGUUUCUUGAAGAAAACAUCAAUUUUGAUGAGGUAAAAUUCAAACUUACAUGUAACUGCAAAUACUUCAAUGACUGUGUGAAUGCAUACAAUCAGAGUUUCCAACCGAGACUUAAAGUAAGCUCCAUCGGAGUUCUCAACUGACACUUAGAGUAAGCUCCAUCAGAAAAUCUGCAAGAUUGAAAGCAAAACAUUCUGAGGCUGGUGUAUCUUGUUGAUCAUGGAGAUGCAUUACCAACCCAAAUUUCUUUCUUAUGGUGUGAAAAAAAGGAGAUGAAGCAACAUUGACUCCUCUUUACACCUAGACGAUUCCUCUUUGGUCAAAUAAUACUGAAGUAACAUCAAUUAAAGUGCACUCAUUUCAAAAGAACUAAUGUGAUCAUAAGAAGCAGAAUAUUUCAAAAACAUGCUCAUCUACAAUUACAAAAUUUUGGAUCAAUUGAUAGAAGCUUUUAUUAAAGAUAGUAACAGAGAAAAGUGCAUGGAAGAAUUGGAGGGAGAUGGUGGAAACAGAAAAUUACCUUUCUAAUCAAUAGAAACGAAAAAUUGAAAUUCAAAAAGAAGUCAAAAGCAAACGAAAUUACUACUAUAAUCUUUUUGUUCAUCGUUUCUACCCCAAUAUCCCAACUACAUUUUACGUAUAGCAAAGCUUCCGAAACUCUACCUCUUUCUCUAUUAAAGACAUCAGCCACGAAUUCCAGCAAUGAAAUUUGGAAGUAUGAAGAGAAAUUAGAAGUGGGCAAAAACUGAGACAACUCAUACCUGAAAUUAGAACAGCCCAGCCGAGAAGAUGUAAAGAACUGGAAAAAAAGUAGUCUUUGAAAAUCUGAAGAAAAAUAAAGAGAUUAUGCAAAAGAAACAUUUUAUUUUAAUAAUGAAAGAGAGAAACAAAAGGAAGGAGAUGAACAGAUGAACAAGAACAUAGAAGAAAAACAACAAUGAAUUUCAGCCAUGAAAUUGAGAAAUUUGAAAAGAAUUGGAAGAAGAUUAAAGCAAAAAUUGAGAGAAAAGAUUACCUGAACUUGAAAGACCACGAAGAGAAAUCAAAUGAAACAACCGAGGGUUUCUUAUUCUCAUAAGAGAAAAAUUGUGUCGGUAUGUGUUAGAACCACAUUAUUAUUACUUUGGGGAACUAAAUAAGAGAUUUGCCCUUGAUAGAAAUAGAAAUAGAAA